AUGCCGCUCUGCAGUCUGCUGUGCAUAUUUGUGGCCUUCGUCUUCUCUGGAUCCAGCGUGGCCCAGAAAGUUGUCCAAGACCAGCCAAUCAUAUUCAUGCAAGAGGGGGCAGAAGCCACCCUGAACUGUCAGUAUGAAACAAGCCUGAGCUCAUACUAUAUUUUUUGGUAUAAACAGCUUGCAAGUGGAGAGAUGAUUUUCCUUAUUCGUCAACAUUCUUCUGGUAAGAAUGCACGCAGUGACCGCUAUUCCGUAAACUUACAGAAAACGGCUAAAACCAUCAGCUUCAGCAUUUCAGCCUUACAGCUGGAAGAUUCAGCAAAAUACUUCUGCGCUCUCCAGGAAGACACAGUGUCUAAAACAAGGGUAAUAGCUGAACAAAAACCCCAGAGUUUGGUCAGAGAGUCCUCCCACUGCUCCAGAAGCCAAGCUGAAAUGGACACCUGCAGGUUCCAGGCACGAAUUGGUAGAGACAGUAGCUGCUUAAUCUGCGGACUGGAUCAGAAGUUUUAA